CAAACAAGGGAGAAAGGAAGGGUAUGGAGUUCUUGUUAGAAACAACAGGACUAUCAUUAACCUGACAUGUUAUAUGUUCUACACAAAAAGGAGCAUUCGUUAUUGCAUACCUUCUAGAUAAAUCUAUUAUAUAGGGGCUUAACUGAAGCUUCUCCACUGCUUUUGUCUUUGUGUUUGUUCCACUGCCUCGCUGCUGCAGACAUCAAGCGGGUGAUUUAAAACCACACAGGGCCUGGGGAAGCCACAUCUUUCUCGCCCACCACUGCAAUUGAUGGAGCUCACUGAGGGAACCCUCCCCCAGCUCGGUUCCUGGGAUGUCUCUGGUUCCCAGGAGGAAAUGCCAUAAGACAUGGUGGCUGGAGCCACGGCCAAUUACAUAACUGUCCAUGCUGAGGGAGACCAGACUCUAAUCUUUGGCCUGCAGAUGUUCAACAGGCGCCUAUCAACCUGCAACUGAUCAUUAUUCAUGGCUGACUGCUCUUCCAUCUUCACAUUCAUUAGACGAAACCCAGACUCUGCGAUAGAUAUGAGACCUGUCUGGGAUGCUUCAAUACCCCCUGCCCAGUGCAUGAUGGGAAAACCUCUGGCCGGUGGCGUGCACAGACUCUCUGUGCG